UACGUAGGGGGCUAGCGUUGUCCGGAAUCAUUGGGCGUAAAGAGCGCGUAGGCGGCCCGAUAAGUCCGCUGUGAAAGUCCAGGGCUCAACCCUGGAAUGCCAGUGGAUACUGUCGGGCUAGAGUACGGAAGAGGCGAGUGGAAUUCCUGGUGUAGCGGUGGAAUGCGCAGAUAUCAGGAGGAACACCGAUAGCGAAGGCAGCUCGCUGGGACGGUACUGACGCUGAGGCGCGAAAGCGUGGGGAGCGAACAGG
rnacentral:rRNA from 1 species